UUUUUUUGUUUUUUGUUUUUUGUUUUUUUUUAAUCUAGGCUUUCGGGAAUGAAAUGCCUGACUCACUGGAUCAGCUUGGGUCAGAGAUACUGAUAAACCUCUUAUGCCUUGAAAUUGUAAUGGAACGCAAGUUCAGCCAUUUGCCACUUGAGAAGCCGAAUACACAAGAGGUGAGGUAUAGUGGAAGGAAAGCAGCUGUAUUAAUCAAAUGCCGGCAGUUGAGGAAAUGACUGGGUUUAUGCCUCUACAAAACCAUUUCAAAUUUUUGGGCUGACUGUGGGGGUUUAAAAAAAGAAACUUGCAGGAGUUGUGCAAGGUGCAGGUCUGCACGUCUUGUUCCAAUGACUAUCUUGAAUUAUUGUCUACCUGAACAGAAUCCAAGCUGGUAUCAUCUUCACUGUGGCUGGGUCAUAGAUUAUCCCCUCUGAGUUAAUUUCUAGAUGGGGGAGAGUUCUACAGCUGGGUUUCCAUAUCUAGUUUGCUUCUAGAGUAGCCCCGGAAGUUUCUAAACAAGCAUAUCAUUAAAUAAGUGUGAUGGUGCUAGGGAGCAUCUGGUGGGAAAGGGAGAGAAACAGAGUUUUAAAGUCAUUUCAAGGCUAUGUUCUGAGUUUAGAGAAAAAAAGGUUUUUAAGUGCAUUUUAAAACUAAGAUACUUGAUUACAAAAUGUGAAUUUUGAUGGAAGAGGAAGAAUAUUAAACAGCUUUCCUCAAUUGUUCUUCCACUUGUGCCUGAGUAAGUGGCAUCCAUACUUGACCCUAUAGACAUGGCAUUCAAUUUUAACCCAUCUUCCCUCAGCUUUACAGUAGGGAAAAUCGUAAGAAGAAUUUUAAUUUAGCAAUAAUUUUUGGCCCCCAAUUAAUCGAAUGGCUAAAAUAUUGUACCUCUAAUACUCAAAGAAGCUCAGCUAGUAAGUAAACUUGGUAUGUUAUUAAUCAAGCCAUACAUUUUUAUUCAGGGCUUUUUAUGGUCUCAGCACUGGAAUUUUAAUGAGAGGUGAUUAAAAAGAUAUGUUCUCUAGUAGAAAAGAUGAAAACCAAAGCAUCAAUUUAUUCAACAAACACUUGUUGGGAUCUACUACUGUGCCAAGUGCUUAAUGGAAAACAUGGGUGUUUAACAUAAGGUCCUUUAUGUUGGUACACACCAAAUAUGUCUUUCCUAAAUGAAUUAAACACAAACAUUUUAUUUUUUAUAAUAAAAAUGUUCUUUUCUACAUAAUUGUUAUGUUCUUUAUUAGGAAUUCAUAUCUCUAAAAGAAUUGAAAAAUUGUUUAUGUGCAUAUGCCAUCAAACACCGUAUCUUCAAAAGAGGUAUCUUUUGAAGACGUUAACAGUUUAAAAUUCCUCACUGGUGAAGAAAAACAUGAGUUUUACAUAGCAGAUGUUACAUUUUAGGAUGGAUGUAUGUGUAUAACCUCUCUAGGGAAGUCCUAGAACAAAAAUUUAACAGUCAUGAGUAAAUAUGCAUGCAUAUAUAUAUAUAUAUAUAUAUAUAUAUAUGCAUGCAAAUAUUAUUAAUAUUUGCAUGGCAAAUGGAUUAUUAAAUAAUGUAAAAGCUUACUAAAUUACCAGCUGGUUGGACUAUUUAUUAAUUGAGAUAAACUUGAGGAGAAAGCAGUAAUUAUAAAUAUUCUUUUAAAAUGUAAAUUGAUGAACUAACAAGGUUUUCCAUUAUAUAUUAAUAUCUGUGGUACAUUUUUAUGCUAUGUAUUUCAUUUUUUCCUGCUCAUUUCUAAAUUAAUUACAGGCAUUAGAGAAGCCAUAAAUACUAAAAGUCAGAUUCAGCUGUCUGCUUUCAAGUGUAUCACACCACAAUCAUAGAUCUUUGAGAAAGCAUAGUAGGAACAAUUCUUUACAUAAUUGUAUAAUUAUAACCCAUGUUGAAAUUAGCAAAGUUAGUCAAAAGAAACGUUAAACAGGUUUUCUUUUCUAAGUGUCACAAAGACUUUGUAGAAUACUUAUAUUUAUAAUGGAUAAUAUGGUUACAUUUUGCAUUAUACUUUAGCUACUAAAGUUAUAAAUGAUCAAGCUUGAAUGAAUUUUGGAGUCUCACAUCUAGUAUAUGCUUGUUUUUCUGGUCAGAAACAUUUUAUGUUUAUUUCUUUCUCUUCAUUUUGAAGAUUAAGGAAAGAUUACUUUAAGAGUCGAACUUGGCACUUUGCAUAUCUCUCUGGUUUAUGUAAGAGUCUUUCCAAGUUUUGUGAAAAAUUCUUCUAAAAGGACAAGGUGAAUUACUUGGCUAAGAUAUAGAUGCCAAUAUAUGUACAAAGAGAACAAAGCUAUAUGAAAUGCACAGAAGGAUCCUGCUCUCCUGCUUGAACAUUUAGCCGAAGGGAAAAGCACGGAGAGAGCCAGAGUAACAAUAACCACGUGCCUUUUUCAUAUAUGAUUCUUAGACAAGAUUUCAAACACCAGAAGAUGGAAGGUCAAUAAAUGUAGGAAGAUUUUAUCCAUACAAGUUGAGAAAAAGUUAACAUAUGCAAAAUGUGUAAAUGAUCUUCUAAGUGUCUAUUGCCUUUGAAAGGUAUCAUUCUCAAGUUAAUUCACCAGUUAAUUUCAUGUCAUCUGAAGUUUCUCUAUUAAAAUUUAAGUAAGAGGUUCUCAUUUAGGAAACAAAUAACUUCUAAAUAUUUCUGAAGAACAUUUAUCAACAUAACCACAGUGUACUGAAUUUAGCUUUUACCAACUCAUGAGAGCCAAUUGUGCAUGUAUUUUCACAACUCUUGUGUUUCAGUGCUGUCACAAUAGUGCUUGGAAUCAAGUGUGGUGGGAGAUUUUACACCACAGAAAUAAAAAAUUACUAUUUUUUAAUAUUUAAUUUAAUUAUUCCUAUCAGCCUAUGUGUGUAUUUUUAUAUUUUUAUACACUUUUUAUUCCUGUUUCACAAAUAGAGUAACUGAGACGGAGAGGUCAUCAGCCCAAAGUCAUACUGUGAAUGGUGGAGCUAGGAUUUAUGCUCAGGCAGUGUAACUGUACAGCCUUCGGACUUAGCCACGAUGCUACUCUGCUUCCCAGUAAAUAUUUAGUCAAAGUUUAUUCAUCAGUAUAGAAUGAUGACAUUAUUUACUGACUGCAUAAACCCAAAUUAUCAAGCAGUUUUUCAACAUUGUCUCAAAGAAGUAAAUUCAAUAUAUCUAACUUGAAAUUUAGGAGCAUUAAAAAAUCAGGAAAGCUAUUUUAUAGAACCAGAGCUUUUCAUGGGGACAGGUGCUAGUGUUCUCUGCUCCAGAAUUCUGAUGCUUAAAAUGUUGCAUAUUUGUUUUAGAUGGGAAAGGAGGGUGUUGGCAGAAGGAUGCCUGGUGGGCAGGGACAUGCCAGUUUGCCAGGAAUCUCAGCAGACACAGUGAUGUGAACGAGCAAGACAAAAUGCCAGGUAGAGACCUACUUUACAUAGUACUUAGAAAUAAAAAUCAUAAGAAAUGUUGAACCAUGCGGUGAUGAGAAUCACUUUUAUACCACCCCAAAUCCCUUUUCCUGAAAUCUCUGAUGAUACUAUCCACAUUUAAAGUUUUCAAAUAUUUUACAAAGUACUUCCAUA
rnacentral:lncRNA from 1 species